rnacentral:rRNA from 1 species
UACGUAGGGGGCUAGCGUUGUUCGGAAUUACUGGGCGUAAAGGGCUCGUAGGCGGCCAACUAAGUCAGACGUGAAAUCCCUCGGCUUAACCGGGGAACUGCGUCUGAUACUGGAUGGCUUGAAUCCGGGAGAGGGAUGCGGAAUUCCAGGUGUAGCGGUGAAAUGCGUAGAUAUCUGGAGGAACACCGGUGGCGAAGGCAGCUCGCUGGGACGGUACUGACGCUGAGGUGCGAAAGCGUGGGGAGCAAACAGG